GUGGAACCCUAUGGGGGAGGUUAUAGGGUCACCCCAUAGGGACAUGAUCUAUAGGGUCACCCCAUAGGGAUGUUGUCUAUGGGGUCACAGCCGUGGUACCCUAUGGGGACAUGAUCUAUAGGGUCACCCCAUUGGGGAUGUCAUCUAUAGGGUCACCCCAUGGGGACAUCGUCUAUGGGGUCAUAGGUGUGGUACCCCAUAGGGACAUGAUCUAUAGGGUCACCCCAUAGGGAUGUCGUCUAUGGGGUCACAGCUGAGGGAACCCCAUAGGGACAUUGUCUAUGGGGUCAUAGAUGUGGUACCCCAUGGGGACAUGAUAUAUAGGGUCACCCCAUAGGUAUGUCAUCUAUAGGGUCACCCCAUAGGGAUGUCAUCUAUAGGGUCACCCCAUGGGGAUGUCGUCUAUGGGGUCAUAGAUGUGGUACCCCAUGGGGACAUGAUCUAUAGGGUCACCCCAUGGUGAUGUCGUCUAUGGGGUCAUAGCUGAGGGAACCCCAUAGGGGACAGCUGCGGGCACAGCUAUAGGGUCACAGAUGUGGUACCCCAUGGGGACAUUAUCUAUGGGGUCACAGCUGAAAUCACCCUAUGGGGACAGCUAUGGGGACAUCUAUAGGGUCACAGCUGUGGCACCCAAUGGGCACCAUGACUCGACCCCAUUAUUUUCACCCUUAAUAAAGA
rnacentral:lncRNA from 1 species